rnacentral:rRNA from 1 species
GUGGGGAAUAUUGGACAAUGGGCGAAAGCCUGAUCCAGCCAUGCCGCGUGUGUGAAGAAGGUCUUCGGAUUGUAAAGCACUUUAAGUUGGGAGGAAGGGCAGUAAGUUAAUACCUUGCUGUUUUGACGUUACCGACAGAAUAAGCACCGGCUAACUUCGUGCCAGCAGCCGCGGUAAUACGAAGGGUGCAAGCGUUAAUCGGAAUUACUGGGCGUAAAGCGCGCGUAGGUGGUUUUGUAAGUUGGAGGUGAAAUCCCCGGGCUCAACCUGGGAACUGCCUCCAAAACUGCAUGACUAGAGGACGGUAGAGGGUAGUGGAAUUUCCUGUGUAGCGGUGAAAUGCGUAGAUAUAGGAAGGAACACCAGUGGCGAAGGCGACUACCUGGACUGAUACUGACACUGAGGUGCGAAAGCGUGGGGAGCAAACAGGAUUAGAUACCCGUGUAGUCC